AAAUACAUAGAACUUGAAAAGUCCGGAACCUUCUCGGCUCUCCAAAUAUCAGAGGGAACCUGCCAACGUUGUCUGUCUCUUUCGCUAGUUGCAGAGGAAGCGAACCAUUACAGGGGUUAGUUUCUUAGUGCCCAAGUAUUGUUUGCCAAAGACUCAAAGAGGAACCCAAUUCUAGAGCCUACAUGCGUGGAACAGCUGUGUUAUCACCUGCAAAAUACAAAUUUAAACAAAUCUACCCUUUGACAAGAUCAUGGGGUACCGUGGCCACUU